GGGUUGUGAGGUUAAGCGACUAAGCGUACACGGUGGAUGCCCUGGCAGUCAGAGGCGAUGAAGGGCGUGCUAAUCUGCGAUAAGCGCCGGUAAGGUGAUAUGAACCGUUAUAACCGGCGAUACCCGAAUGGGGAAACCCAGUGUGACUCGUCACACUAUCAUUAACUGAAUCCAUAGGUUAAUGAGGCGAACCGGGGGAACUGAAACAUCUAAGUACCCCGAGGAAAAGAAAUCAACCGAGAUUCCCCCA
rnacentral:rRNA from 22 species